AUUCCAGCUCCAAUAGCGUAUAUUAAAGUUGUUGCAGUUAAAAAGCUCGUAGUUGGAUUUGUGGCGUACGACGGGCUCCGGGCACUUGUUGUCUGAGUAGCUUGUCGUUGCCAUCCUUGGGUGGAAUCUGUGUGGCAUUAGGUUGUCGUGCAGGGGAUGCCCAUCUUUUACUGUGAAAAAAUUAGAGUGUUCAAAGCAGGCUUAUGCCGUUGAAUAUAUUAGCAUGGAAUAAUAAGAUAGGACUUUGUCGCUAUUUUGUUGGUUUGCGCGAUAAGGUAAUGAUUAAUAGGGACAGUUGGGGGUAUUCGUAUUCCAUUGUCAGAGGUGAAAUUCUUGGAUUUCUGGAAGACGAACUACUGCGAAAGCAUUUACCAAGGAUGUUUUC
rnacentral:rRNA from 1 species